AUUGGAUGUAUUGGGUUCGGGUGUUGAAAUAAAAAAGCUGUAAUUAACAAUUGAGUUGGAUAUACUUGGAUCUAAAGAAGGGGAGAAGUAUAAGAUGGGCCUGACGGCCCAAUGAAUUUUCCCAUGAACCAAAGCCUAGGCCCCUAUAUCCCCUUCUCUUCCUCUUCCCCGGAGUGCCGCCGUGUCCGGAAACGCGGGGUUGGAAAGGGCGGAUUCGCCUCCCGCUUCCCGCCCUCUGCUCGUCGUGGCCGCGAGCGCGACUGCUCCGCGCCGCCCAUCCCAUCUCCGGACAUCCAGCCCCAGUUGAUAUUCGGGGUCUCGAAGCUAAUCGAUUCGAUUUGAGAACCCUGGAACCAAUCUUUCAGUAUCUUGAUUGGAUCGAUGAUAUCUUUUAUCAUGUCCUAACACACUGGUAGGUUCAUGUUGAAUUCCGCUUGGUAUUAGCCCAAUACUCAGCCACAAGUUUAGCAAAGGCUGAUUGCUUGUCUUCCAACAGUUUGGCUGGUGUUUCAUAUUCCAGAAGCUUCCCUGCAAAAUUGGAAAAUCAUCGUGUGUCGUCCAUAUAGAAUAAGCUUUGCAGUGUACUUAUAAUUAUAUCAUAUGGGACAUUGAUAGUUUACUAUCUGCUGGUUGUAUGAAGAAUGAAUAGAAUCUUUCUGCA